rnacentral:misc_RNA from 1 species
CAGCUCAAUUCCCUACGGGGAAAGCCCAUACAAAUCCACUAUCGCCAACUAGCAACGCGUGAUCUAGAAUAUGGCAGACUGUAGCCGGUUCCCCUCCUACGGGAGCAGCAUACCGCUCGACACUAUGCUUUACGAAGGUAAUGGACACCGCUAGUCAAGGCAAGGCACUGCAAGGAGAGGCCUUACUAAGGCUACUGUCGAGUUCUGAGAGGUAAGCUGGCUUGCAUAGAGGUUGGUACUCGAA